CAGUCGCCACGGUAAUACGGAGGGUGCAAGCGUUAAUCGGAAUUACUGGGCGUAAAGCGCACGCAGGCGGUCUGACAAGUCAGAUGUGAAAUCCCCGGGCUUAACCUGGGAACUGCAUUUGAAACUGUCAGGCUGGAGUCUUGUAGAGGGGGGUAGAAUUCCAGGUGUAGCGGUGAAAUGCGUAGAGAUCUGGAGGAAUACCGGUGGCGAAGGCGGCCCCCUGGACAAAGACUGACGCUCAGGUGCGAAAGCGUGGGGAGCAAACAGGAUUAGAUACCCGUGUAGUCCCUGUCUCUUAUAA
rnacentral:rRNA from 1 species